AACGAACGCUGGCGGCAGGCUUAACACAUGCAAGUCGAACGCCCCGCAAGGGGAGUGGCAGACGGGUGAGUAAAGCGUGGGAACGUGCCCUUCGCUUUACGAUAGACCCGGGAAACUGGGAGUAAUACUGGAUACGCCGUCUUGGGAAAGAUUUAUCGGCGAAGGAUCGGCCCGCGUUAGAUUAGGUAGUUGGCGGUGUAAUGGACCACCAAGCCGACGAUCUAUAGCUGGUCUGAGAGGAUGAUCAGCCACACUGGGACUGAGACACGGCCCAGACUCCUACGGGAGGCAGCAGUGGGGAAUCUUGGACAAUGGGCGCAAGCCUGAUCCAGCCAUGCCGCGUGAGUGAAGAAGGCCUUAGGGUUGUAAAACUCUUUCGCCGGAGAAGAUAAUGACGGUAUCCGGAGAAGAAGCCCCGGCUAACUUCGUGCCAGCCGCCGCUGUAAUAC
rnacentral:rRNA from 1 species